rnacentral:rRNA from 1 species
GACGAACCGUGCGAACGUUAUUCGGAAUCACUGGGCUUAAAGCGCGUGUAGGCGGGCGGGAACGUCGGUUGCUGAAAGCCCCCGGCUCAACCGGGGAACGGGCGCCGAAUCGACCCGCCUCGAGGGACGUAGGGGGACCUGGAACUUCCGGUGGAGCGGUGAAAUGCGUUGAGAUCGGAAGGAACGCCCGUGGCGAAAGCGAGGUCCUGGACGUCUGCUGACGCUGAGACGCGAAAGCCAGGGGAGCGAACGGG